rnacentral:rRNA from 1 species
GCAAGUCGAACGAGAACGGCUCUAGCUUGCUAGAGUGUCAGCUAAGUGGCGCACGGGUGAGUAAUGCAUAGGUGUACGUGCCCCAUAGCCUGGGAUAACAACUGGAAACGGUUGCUAAUACCGGAUACUCCCUUCGGGGGAAAGAUUUAUCACUAUGGGAUCGGCCUAUGUCCUAUCAGCUAGUUGGUGAGGUAAUGGCUCACCAAGGCGAUGACGGGUAGCUGGUUUGAGAGGAUGAUC